rnacentral:siRNA from 1 species
UUCUAAAAAGCUGCUUGAUCCGC